GUAAGUCGGACUGUCGCGUGUCAUGGCGCCGAAAGGUAUUGGCAUGAGGAAAGUCCGGGCUUCACAGGGCAGGGAUAACGGAUAACGUCCGCCGGAGGCGACUCCCGGGAAAGUGCAACAGAAAUAGACCGCCCGCGACAGUGGGUAAGGAUGGAAAGGCGAGGUAAGAGCUCACCGGCACUGUGGCAACACCGUGCAAAUGUAAACCCUAUCCGAAGCAACACCGUAUGUGAGCGGGGCGACCCGCGCCUGCCCGGCGCAGUCUCACAGGUGGCUCGAGGCGUCCGGCGACGGGCGUCCCAGAUAGAUGACAGUCGUGUUCCUUAUGGAACAUACAAAACCCGGCUUACAGACUUGCUUC
rnacentral:RNase_P_RNA from 1 species